rnacentral:lncRNA from 1 species
UGAUAAUUUUUAUUGGGAUGAUGAUUUUUAAAUUUAUAUAAUGCUCUGUCCUGGUGAGAACUCUGUUCAAAGGGUUGCCAUAUAGACAGUGGUCAUCACCUGUUCCCUGGAAGUGCUUUAAGAGAGAGAAAGUUACAAGAAAGGGGAAGUAGGGAAUUCCCCUAGAUUCUUGGCAGCAAGAGUUGUCAUGUGUUUGCUUAAUCACUUCCGCUUUUGAGCCUGGUGGUUAGCAGCUUCAGACGUCAGAGGCAUAGUAGAAAAGGCACAUGCUGGAAGGCACAUGCCAGAACCAAACUUCCAACUGAGUCAUAAUUUAUCUUUAUUCCAUAAUAAACAUCUUUCAAACUGAGCUUUGAUCCAGAAACCCAUUUUGCAAUUGGUUUUCAAAGGGUCUUACUCUCAGCAUCCAUCAGCUAAUCUGCACAGAGAGGAAGCUCCUUUUAAGGUACACUCUCAGCUCCAGUCAGCAGUGCACCUUCAAAUGGACUUGCUUUCAGCACCCAUGCCAUGCCUACUAGGGCCCAUGAGCCAGAGGUUCCUCAACACUGCAGUAUACUACACUGCUGGCUUGAUAAACUGAUAAACAUUCAGAAAUUUUAAAGUGGCAUGCAGUUACACGUAGAAAGGACAGUAUUUAGUUCUUUUCUGGGUAGAACAGAAGAUCUUAAAUGUUGAGGCUGACCCUGAGCUAAACCUGGCAAAUUGUUCAGACCACUUCAUCUGCAUCUUGUGCUUUUUCUUAAAAGGGGAUUUAUGUAUCUUGGAAUUAUGUUGAAAGGUCUUGGGCACGUGCAUAAUGAAAUAACUUCUUCAAUUUUUUAAAAUAGGUCCUUACCAGAUUUUUGGGCUCCUCUUCUCCAGUACUUUAUUGGUUCUGUGCUCAUCUGCUUCAUGACUAUGAGCCUUUGCUACAGAAUGGGAACCAAUCUUCACAGCAUGGAACACCCCGCUCAGACAAGCCCUCAUUGGCAAACUCUCUUCCUAACUGGAACAGAAAUGAAAACCCUGUGCUCACACUUCUGUACAACUGGAGGCAGACUACCACUCUCGCUAAGUGCAUUCUGGGAUAUGUACUUUCCUAUUGGGUGUUGGGGCUGGUCCUUCACUGCAAUUUUUUCCCAUGGACAUAAGUAUGUAGAACUGGGUAAGCUGAUUGACUAGAGCAUUAACCGAGCAUUUUUCACCUUGGCAGUAUUGAAGCUAAUCAGCAUCUACAUGAAACUGCUAGGAGAGAGUUGGAGCUCAGUGUCACCUGUGUGCUGAUGACAACAGAAUGGGCCAAUUCCUCUCUCUUCCAGCCAAGCCAGAGAGAGUAUUGAAGUGUUUUGGUUUUUUCCUCCCAAUAGACACUCAGAACUGUGUAGUUAUUGAGCAUACUUAGUCCGCAAUUGGCUUUUGUCAUUCCUCCCCACCUUUAGUGUGUGGAGUUGUCAUUCUGUAAACCUUUGGGUUCUUCCACACCUGCUGAUAUCUCCGUCUUGUGCUUACAUGGUGCUAUUUUGGUUAUAUAAGAAAUGACAAUCAGGAUUAGUUUUCUGUUGGUAUAUAGGGUGGGGCAAACAAAGUGAUGCUUAAUCCAGAUAGAGGUGCUCUUGGUUAGAAGAGCUACCACUCUGGGAAUAAGAGUUCAGUCUGUCUUGGAGGGCAGUUCACUUCCCUUAAAAACUCAGGUUCACAGCUUCACAGUUCUCCUAGGUUAACUCUUAGGUUUCCAGGUAGCAGCUGUGGGUAGGACACCUUAGGCUGUUGUGCCCGCUGAGGUUCCCCAAGAGAAGAGAUGUAGUCACAGUAGCACAUGCCUUCUGUGUUGCAUCAAGAUUUGGAUUACUGCAGUAUGUUCUACAUGGGGCUGCCUUUGAAGUGUUUAUAAACUUCAGUCAGUCUGAAACACAGUAGUUAAAAGCGAGUUAUUGAGAGCACAUUGGUCCCAUGUUGCAAAGGUUUCACCAGCUGCUGGUCUGUUUUCUGGGCCCAACUCAAAGUACUGCUCCAUUUAUGAGUGCUAAACAGCUUAGGACCAGGGUUUCCAAAUGGCCAUCUCUCAUUGAGCUCAACUACUUAUUAAGAUCAACUGGAGAGAUCACCAAGAACUGAAAAUCCCUGCCGUUAACCUUUUUUGUUGGUACCACAAGGUUUGGAAUCUGGCACUGAUGGAAAAGAUAACUCACAGAUUUAAGGUGCUACAAAAAGGAACUGAGUUGGACAAAUUUCAGGAUUUAUGGUACAUUACACAGACCACCAAGGACAAAAAUGUUUGUAAACCUCCAGCCGCACAUGGUCAACUACAGCUAAGUACUUUGGGCUGACAUAUACAAUAGAAACAAAAAUCAACUAAUGAACUUUGAACCUGAUUGUGUUAUUCAACAUUAUAUGAUGAACUGUCUCUCCAUUGUUACAUAUUUUUGUAAUUUUAUAUCAAAAUCAAUAAAAUACUUUUUUAAAAAAUCUGCUGGAGUGUAUCUCCUUUGCAUCCUGUCUGUAUCUUAGGUGUGUUUGGUGUGGAUGCAGAGGAGAGCUGUACCUAGACAUUUUGAGGGUGAUCUGGCUCACCCCUUGCUGGUUUCCCACCAUCUCGUGGAAACUUUUGUUUUCCAGAGAGCACUUGGCCUGCUAAGCUUAUUAUUAUUUAGCUUACAAUUGGUUUGUUGACUAUCUGAGGAAUGAUAUUUUUAAAGUGAAGGCAGUGAAGGUCCUGUCUGAGUGUCUGGAGGCGGUUGGAGGAUGGAUGGCAGCUAACGGACUGAGGUUGAAUCCUGACAAGACAGAUGUACUGUUCUUGGGGGACGGGGUGGGCUGGUGUGAAGGACUCCCUGAUCCUGAAUGGGGUAACUGUGCCCCUGAAGGACCAGGUGCGCAGCCUGGGAGUCAUUUUUGACUCACAGCUGCCCAUGGAGGCGCAGGUUAAUUCUGUGUCCAGGGCAGCUGUUUACCAGCUCCAUCUGGUACACAGGCUGAGACCCUACCUGCCCGCAGAUUGUCUUGCCAGAGUGGUGCAUGCUCUAGUUAUCUUCUGCUUGGACUACUGCAAUGUGCUCUAUGUGGGACUACCUUUGAAGGUGACUCGGAAACUGCAGUUAAUCCAGAAUGUGGCAGCUAGACUGUUGACUGGGAGUGGCUGCUGAAACCAUAUAACACCGGUCCUGAAAGAUCUUCAUUGGCUCCCAGUACGUUUCCGAGCACAAUUCAAAGUGUUGGUGCUGACCUUUAAAGCCCUAAAUGGCAUCGGUCCUGUAUACUUGAAGGAGCAUCUCCACCCCCAUCAUUCUGCCUGGACACUGAGGUCCAGCGCUGAGGGCCUUCUGGCGGUUUCCUUGCUGUGAGAAGUGGGGUUACAGGGAACCAGGCAGAAGGCCUUUUCAGUAGUAGCGCCUGCCUUGUGGAAUGCCCUCCCAGCAGAUGUCAAGGCAAUAAACUAUUUUACUUUUAAAAGACAAGUUUAGGGAAGUUUUUAAUGUCUGAUGCUGUAUUGUUUUUAAUAUUCGGUUGGAAGCCACCCAGAGUGGCUGGGGAAACCCAGCCAGAUGGGCGGGGUAUAAAAAUAAAUUAUGAUAUUAUUAUUAUAUUAAAGUUACCUUUUCUGUUGUUUCCUU